rnacentral:rRNA from 1 species
UAAUACGAAGGGAGCUAGCGUUGUUCGGAAUUACUGGGCGUAAAGGGCGCGUAGGCGGCUCGAUAAGUCAGAUGUGAAAGCCCCGGGCUUAACCUGGGAACUGCAUUUGAUACUGUCAGGCUAGAGAUCGAGAGAGGAAAGUGGAAUUACGAGUGUAGAAGUGAAAUUCGUAGAUAUUCGUAGGAACACCUGUGGCGAAGGCGACUUUCUGGCUCGAUACUGACGCUAAAGCGCGAAAGCGUGGGGAGCAAACAGGAUUAGAUACCCUGGUAGUCCACGCUGUAAACGAUGAGUGCUAGAUGUUAGGAGGGCAACCUCUUAGUGUCGCAGCUAACGCAUUAAGCACUCCGCCUGGGGAGUACGGUCGCAAGAUUAAAACUCAAAUGAAUUGACGG